rnacentral:rRNA from 6 species
CAGGUUUCCGUAGGUGAACCUGCGGAAGGAUCAUUA